CAGAAUAAAGGGGGGGCUGGACAGGGGAGUCUUCGUCCUCGCUUGCAACUCAGCACAAAAGAGAAUGGGAGGAGAGAGAGAGAGGAGUUAGGCUCUGCUUUGGCGGUACUCCAUCUGGUGCUGGGACGCUAGUCUGGUGACGAGCCACAUUUCCCUAGGCGCUGGACUCCGGUGAGUUUUGCCCUCGUUCCUCGACGCGUAAUCCAGGGACCGUAGUAGUCGUCUUGGUAACUCGGCGCGGUUGGGGCAUCGGUGCCUCCGGGAUUCCAUGGAGUAUGGCGGCGGCAUGGGACUCUGGCCUUGGACGCAGUCGGUUGUGCCCGGUUGUCGCGGGUUGGACGACACCGAUAGGUCCGUAGAGCCGAGUACCUGGGCAUGGGGACUGACCUUGGGGCAGCUGGGGCCACCGCUGUAGAGUGCGAGUGCAGGGUAGAAGAUGACAGGGCGUCCCUUGAUCUCACGAUGUACGGCGAGGAUUAGAGGAACGGGAUGAAGAAAACCGGGACCGUAGGAUGGUGAGCGGAGGGGGUAGAUUAAAUCUUGCGUACCCAUUCGUAUCGUGGAAUUUGGGCGGUUAGAUUGUGAUCGUGUGGCCCAGAUCUGGGUGGGAUUUCAUAAAGCGUGGAUCUAAUCGUGACUAUAGAUCUUGAAUCAGACAGCCAGGAUAGAUCCAUACCCCUUCGCGGUUCUAAAUUGUACUUGAGCCCCUCGGUUUAUGUCAAAAUAACCCGCGGUCCAUAUCCCUGUACCCUUUGUCUUAUAACUUUUAGCACCAAGGCCCCUGGUCUUUCUGAAAAUCGACGCCCAGUCCAGAGGAUACUAAAAACCGAGAAAUAAUUAUAGAAAUUAGUUUUUAAUGCAAAAACAAUUCUAGAAACUUGUAAAAUGCAUAGAAAAUUCAUUUUUAAUCCAAAUUGAUCCAUUCCAAUUUCUAAAUUUUGUAAUAUUAAUGUCUAUCACCUAGAAUCUCUGUUUUAGAAUGGAAACAGUAAGAAAAUUUAUUUCUCAUUUAAUCCUAUUUCAAGCACAUAAAACCUUUGGAAAUUCAUAUCUUAAAAUCUAUAACUCCAAAAUUAAUGAUUCCUGUUCCUAGGUCCUUAUUUUAAUGUGUAUAUUAUUAUUGUGUAUUUUAUUUAAAUGUUUGCUGUGAUGUUAAUUUUUGCUAUACUAUGUAUGUAUUGUGUUGAUGCGAGUAGACGAGCAAGCCACUGUGGAUCCUGAGGUUCAGCAGGUAGAAGUUGCUGAGCAGGAGCUCAUUGAAGGCAAGUUUUGCCAUUGAUCACUUACUUUUUCCUAGCCAUUUUCUUAUUAAUUAUAAUGAUCUGCAUAGGGUAAUUUUGAUGGGAUCCAAUAGGUUACCCCAGUUUUGGCUAUCUUUAUACCUUGUGGCCAAUUAAUAUUUUUGGGUAGUACAUGCUAUUGCUUAUUGUGGUUUUGGGUAUGGAGAUACACUAUUCAUGAUUUCAUCUUUAUUAUCUAUUUAUUAUUACUGUUCAUGUUAAGAUCAUUAUGUUAAUGGGAACAUGGAGCGACCAUCCGGGAAAACAGUGCUACCACAAGGGUUUAAUGGGACGCCCUUGGCUGAUUAACUAGGAAAGCUAGUGGAUGACUUCCUUACCCGAAAGGGGCAAGGGCAGUAGGGGAGUGGUCAGUGUAGGGAGGUCCUUGGGUUGAUUUUGCUGCGAUGGCGGUCAGGCGAGGGAUUCCUGCACUAGAGUUUCCUAUAAACUAUAGCGGGAUUUCUGAAGCUAGUGGAACUUUAUAAAGGCCUCGUAGUGUUACCCUGCCUCGCCUCCUCGGUAGAGGUGUAUGGGAUUGGCUGUCUCUUGGCAGAUGGGUAACAUGACUUGUGGGUAAAGAUGCGCAACCUCUGUAGAGUGUAAAGCUGGUAUACUAGUCGUGCUCACGGUCAUGAGCAGCUCGAACACUCACAUGAUUAAUCUAUGGAAUUAAAACUCAAUUUGACAUUUGCAUCACAUUUGGUAUUAUUUUAUUAUUAAUUUUAUUUAUUAUUACUAAGGUUUGGUAUUAACUUAUACUUAGUAAUUGCUAAUUAAAUUUUGACCAACUUAUAAAAGCAAUGCUCAGCUUCAGCCUUUAUUUUGUUGAUCAGCCUUACACUUCACAUGAACUCCCACCUUUGGUGAGUUCAUGCCACAUUAUUCCCCACAACUUGUUGAGCUAUGAUUGUAUGUGAGCUCACUCUUGCUGUCUCACAACCCCCCACAGGAGAAGAAAAGGCGGUCGAAGAGGAGCUGCCUAACUCUGAGGCUUUCGACUUGAUCUAGAUGGCGUCUCCUAGUCAGCUUUGUGGCGCUAGGGACUAAUAUUUAGUUCGCUUUAUUUUAUCAUUUAUUUUUGUAAGACUUCCGCUAUGUAAUAAGUACAUUUAUGAUAUUUAUGACAUUUAUCUCUAUGCACUCUAUUAUUAUAUGUGUUGUCU
rnacentral:lncRNA from 1 species